AGUUUAUGGAAUUACAUUUGUGUCAAAUUAAACGCACGCAACUUUUGCAAAAACAAACAAAAAUAUACAUUGAUAAAAGAAAAAAACUAUCUGAAAAUAAAAACAAUCAACUAACUAGCAAAAAAAUUAACAUCAUCUUUAAAUAUACUGCAUUCUUUGUUUAUAGUUUUCUAAGUUUCACUUUCACUAAAUAUAGUUUUGAAUGUGCUGCAAAUGUUUUCGUUUUCACUUUCCAAUUUUUUGUUUGCGCUUCGCAAAUUUACGUUCUCCAUUUUGACACAAACCUCUCGUGAGGGGCGGGCUUAACAGCGGUUCGCUCUUAUUGGCUUGUGAGAUUUUGAUUGACAGCUCAUUGAACCGGAACCCCGGAACAGAAGGUGGCGGUAGUGCGCCAAUAAGCUGGAUCCCAACCACUGUUAAAAAUAACAAGAAGAAGACGAUCGGACGCUGUUUAUCAGCGGAGCUGCAAGUAGUCUAAACAAACGGUAAUAAGAGUAUAUUAAAGAACAUUAUUGAUAAUACAAGGAUAUUUUACACGUCAGCAGAGGAAUUACAAUAGUUCAAGAUGAGUAAUCGAGAGGCUCACGGUCCGGAGCACCAACACCAUCCUCCUCGGCCGGACAAUCGAGGCAGCCUGAGGUAAGUUUGUAAUAACUAUCAAAAUAAAUAGAAUAAUCCCACUGCAAGAUUUAUUCAUGUGUGAAGGCUGCAACAGUUGUGUUAAACUGUAUAUGAAUGGUAUUGCAUUUCUCAAAGCAGAGCAAAGAUCGUUAUGUAAAAGACCCAUUUGUUCCAUAGUCUACUUUGGCACAUUUAGGCUUACAAUGGAUAUGUGAAACGCAAAGAUAAUGAUCUUUCUUUAAUUGUGGUUAGGCAAACAAUUCUAUCUUUAUUAUUGUCCAUAAAAAACAAAUGUAAGAUUUUAGCCUAAUUCCGCUUUUUAUUUUAUAUUACUUAUCAGGACCAAAGAGUGUAAUUUCUCCAGGUAGGCACUGAACCAGUUCAUGUUGUUCUCUGUAUAUAAAAUACCAAUUUAAAGGGGCUUUGGUAAAUUUUUAGGUUUUUUUAGUUUAUGUUUUUAUUAGAUUUGAAAUGUAACGAGUUCAGCAUAGAAUUCAUGUUAGCUAUUUCUACAAGAACAAGUGUGAGAACAUAUUUUGCAGCGAAUGUUUAGUUUAAAUCAAUUUUAAUUCAAAUCAAUUAAUCUUUAAUGCACGUUUACAAGAGCACUGCAAGGUUAAAAUGAAGCCUUGAAAGGGGUAGUAAUGUUUGCUGUUACUGGUGGGACAGAAAGCUCUCUUUGAAAAGAUAACAUUUUAAAGAUCUUUACUUGUGUUCAGAAGAUGAACCAAAGUCUUAAGGGUUUGGAACGACAUGAUGGUGAGUAAAUGACGACAGAAUUGUCUUAUUUAGGCGUAUUAGCAGCACUCUAAAAAUGCAUAUCUGCACCACAUCUGGUGGUAUUCAGCCUACCUGCCCUUAAUGUAGGAAUGCCACUAAUUUGGUUUCCAUAAUACUUCACAUGAUGAUUUACUAUGGACAGACAUUGCUUUUUUAUAAGCUACGAUUUGACCAUACUUUUCUCUUUUUUUUUUUAGAAUUGAGCCUCUAUGGUGUGAUGUUUGGUCAGCUGUCUCUUGUACUAUGAAGAACUGCAAUGGAAGAAGAGACAGUGCUUGAUUCGGCAGGUGAACUGCACAUAUUUUAUGGUGGAGCAACUUUUUUAAGAGGAAAUUGUUGACAAUGUCACAGAGGAUGAUGGUGUGGUCGUGGUGCCAGAGAUCUAUUGUCCUUUGUCAGACCAAAAGCCUUUGAUAUCACCAUUGAAUGUCUAGGAGUUAUACCAACAGACACUUGAUGUCAUCCAAAGACUGUGCUCCAUUUAAAUUGUAAAAGUCAUUUUCAGGUUUACAAGAUACAAAAGCUGGUUCACAGAUGUACCUUUCCUUUAAAACUAUUUCCCACCUGUAAUCACAAUGGAGACACAUCUCUGACUGCUGGGCUUCCCCUCUUAUUGUGUCCAGAUUCAUAUGCAUCUGCAGGGUUAUUCAUGGCAACACUUUAUAGCGUUGUGCUGGUAAUUUAUCUUUAUAUAUCAUGCCUUCUCACUACAUCUGUCAGCCUGUGCUUUACAUAUCUGAGAGUCAACGCAGCUAAACAUGAAGGACAAAUGCAAUGCAAGACGUUAUGCAUGUUAUAUAUCGGCAUAUGGAUGAUUAGAUUAGAAACUUUUGUGUGUUUAAACAUCACAUGACAUAGAAAAUUGACUGUCCUCCAUUUUCCUCCUUAGAUUUAAUUUGUACUUUAGACGUCAAUGGGUACACUCUCAUGUGUGCUUACCAUCAUUUAUCAAAAUAUCUUCUCAGCAGAAUAAAGAAACUUAAAUAGGUUUACAACAACAUGAGACUGAGUAAAUAAUAACAGAAUUUUCAUUUUUGUGUGAACUAUCCCUUUAAGACUCUGUAAACCAUUCAGAUGCAUGUAAAAUCAUUAACAACUGUUAAACAGCAUCUAUAAAUGAUAAAAAAGACAUUACUAUUGGGAGAAACAUUUUGUCUAGACAUUUGAGUUCAUUUCAACUGACACU